UACGAAGGGUGCAAGCGUUACUCGGAAUUACUGGGCGUAAAGCGUGCGUAGGUGGUUUGUUAAGUCUGUUGUGAAAGCCCCGGGCUCAACCUGGGAAUUGCAUUCGAUACUGGAUAGCUAGAGUUCGGCAGAGGGAAGCGGAAUUUCCGGUGUAGCGGUGAAAUGCGUAGAUAUCGGAAGGAACAUCAGUGGCGAAAGCGGCUUCCUGGACCAGAACUGACGAUCAGGCUCGAAAGCGUGGGGAGCAAACAGG
rnacentral:rRNA from 1 species